CCAUGCGACACAAAAUAAGAUACUAUAUAUAUUAAAGCCAUAAGCUGUAAAUUUCCACCAACAUAGUUGAUUAGAUAUAAAGAGACGGAGAAGUUUUCAUUCAAUUUGUUUAUAUUCGCUGUCAUCUUAAUCUUUGCAACUUGUUAGUUUCUUAUAUAACUCUUUUAUUUCCUUUGGUAUGAAUAUUAUCUUUUUUGUUUAAUCUAAUCCAAGGGAAUUUUGGUUGCAAAUUCAGAGAUGAUUGCGGAGGCAAGAGGACCUGUCAUUUCGUGUAGAUGCAACAAAACUGAAGAUUGUCAUGGUAUUUGUGCCUUGUGCUCCAACUAUAAGUGCAAUAAUAACCGUUGUACUUGCCUUUCAGACACACCUCCUUCUUCAUUGUUUUAGAAUCUACACACUCCUAUAAUUAAAUUAAAUGGUGAGAUUUUUGUGUAAUUUGAAAUAAAUUAUCAUGCAAUGAAUCUAAUAAGAAAAAAUAUUGUUAUUAUUUUAUUUUAAUUUUCUUUUUACCCUUCUCUCCCCCUCCCACCCUCCCUCCCUUUCUAGUUGAGUAGGUUACAUUUCAAAUAUAUAAAAAGAAUUACAAUCUUGUUUUAAAUCUAAAAGAAAUAAUAGUAAGAACAAAAGAUAGGAUAAAAUUUAAGACACAAAAUGAUAAGAUAAUUCUUCUUUCUACUUGUAUCUCAUAAGCUUGUACAUGGCUUCAAUCUAUAGUGCUUCAACAAUUAUAGGCUAAAAAUAAUAUAAAUAGGAAUAUCAAAACCCUCAAUAAAUUGAAUAGGUAUUUCAUAAGUUGUAAGUUCCACCGCAUUCUUUUGGUGGGGACACUUUGUUAAUUUAUUAACAACACUCUAUUUUAGAUGUGUAUCAAAUGGAAACGUUCUAUAUUAAAACUUUAUUAGAAAAAAUUGCGCAAUCACCUAUUAUAAGCUACAACAUUAAAAAAAAUUUCUAAGAAAACUUAGUUGGACAAUACCUUGAGUAAAGGAAAGAAUAAUACCUUGGGUAAAGGAAAAAGUAAACAUGUUUUAGACUCCCCUUAAUUUUAAAAAUAUUGAAACAUGGUACAAAUUUUGAAACCAUUGCGAGCUAGGCUCAAUGUGGUCAAAUCACCAUUAUAUGUAAUGCGGUUAUACUGUCAUUUAAAAUGCGAUAUAAUCGUCGUUCUCCUCAUUACUCCCGGUGUAGUGCACUGAUAACAUAAAAAGGAAUAUUCUUGAGUGACAACCACCACUAUCGGUGGCAGUUUUGGGGACAGCUUUGGGCGGCUCAAAAGGUGUGUUUUAAAAACUAAAAAAUGACCAUUUAAAUCAGUAACCAACGCCAAAAUUCCAGAUCUAGAAUGGGAAAUUUUCCUACUGAAAAAUUAAGAAGAAAAAAGGAAGAAUAAGACAUUUACUCUAGAGAUAUCUAAGAGGCGGCAAUGGUGAACCUUGUGGCAACUAUAGAGGUCUUCUUUCACGUGAUAAAAAUACCAGAUUUAAAAUUAAGGUAAAAUAGCAGCAAUGAAGAGAAGGGAAAUUGUGCAAAAAUCCAUUACCAAUGAAGAGAAGGUGGGCAGCAAAAAAAGGGUUUUGGGCGACAGAACAAUGAGGGAGAAUAGAAGAAAAAUUGGAGAGGAAGAGAAGAGAGGAAGAAGAAGGGGCAGCUAGGGUUGAAAAAAAUUGACUGAAGCCUGAAAAGUUAAUAACAAAGUGAUAUUUAUACCUAGAUUAAUAAGCAUGACCAGCACAAAAAUAGGGAAGGAGAAAAUUUAGCAAAAUUAAGCUAUUUUGCAAGUGAAUGGAAUAAAACUUGAGACAUUGAUCUAAUUAUAUUAUUUCUCAUUUUCCUUUCAAUCACUGGGCUAUUUACUACUUUUGAUAUAAUUCUACAUUCUUUUAAGCAAAAAUUUGGGAUGUUACAAGUAGGACAUCCAAGACUAGCACCCGAAACAAUAAAUAACCCUAAUGACAUGACAUUUGUAACCUAUGUAUUCACGAGGUUCAUAUGAGCCAAAUUCCACAUCCAAAUCAUUUAAACUUAUUCACAUUAUACCAUUACAAGCAAACAUUCAUAUAGUUCCCAUUUUUCAAAUAUAAUCAUCUAUUUAGCUAAUACUGCAAUUCAGUCCAAUUCACUAAUUGUCAUAUAUCAAUCAAUUUAAUUCAUUCAUAACAUGAAUCAUAGUUAACAUAUUACCAAAAAUAGCAAUUAAUAAGUUUAAACAACAUGCGAACUUACCUCCUUAAAAACGAUUACAAACGCGAUGUUGACGACUAUUCCACUAACUUCGUUUUUCCACGAUUUGUGUUUGGUUGAUUUGUUUCUUGAGCUAAAUAGUAAUUUUAAUUCAAUUAAACACUUAAGACAAUUUAAAAUUAAACACAUACAUUUAAGCCCUUUUAUUCUUGUUUUACAGAAUUACCCUAAAAUUUCACACCUUAUGCAAUUUAGUUCCUAAAUCUAAAACUUUUAAUUUAAUUACAUUUAACCCCAAACCAUGCUAGCCAAAUUUCUUAUAUUCCCUAUACAGCCCAUAUUUUUCUCACUUUCACAAAAAUUUCAUAUAAUUUUACUAUUUUAUCAUCUUAGUCCUUAAACAUUAAAAUCACUAAAACUCACUUUACAAAACAAUCAUAUUUCACUAUCAAGCUUACAAAUCCAUCACCAAACUUUAAAAACACUAAAAAUUCAUCAAUGACAAAACUCAAAAUAUUUAAAAUUUUACGAAUUAAUCCCCGGGUUAGCUAGAUUUGGCUACAACGAUCUCAAAAACAUAAAAAUCAUCAAAAACGAGUUGAAAAAUACUUACUUGCACACCAACAAAGCCUGACCGAAUCUUUUAUGUUCUUCAACAAUGGUUUUCAGUUCUAAAUAAAGAAAAUGAAGAAGAUGAUGAUAAUGGAC
rnacentral:lncRNA from 1 species